GGGGCGGUGCCGCCCCCUUUGGAGUGGGCGGUGCGAGAGGGCAAGACUGGCAGGCGGCGAGUCCCAGACCCGAGCCUCUCAUCUAUCUGCAGGUUGCUGGCCUCACCAGGGUACCUUGCCCAGGUCGUCAUAAGCACUCUGCACCCACCCCCGAAGCGCUUAGAGAAGGGGGCGUGGCAGCGGCAGGGCGUUCUCUCCUCACCGCUUUCUCUCCAAACGUCUUCUGGAUUUCUGGUAAGGAAAACAGGUACACACGAAUUUUGAGAGAAAAGCGGGAUGACUGACUGAUGACUUAUUUUUAUUUUAGAUUAGGUCUUGUCUGGCACUUGCUACAUGGUUCAGGCUGGCCUCGAACUUGUGGCAAUCCUGUUUCGUGUUCUCAAGUGCUGGGAUUACAGAUGUGAACCACUACACCAGGCAGAUCUUAUUUAUCGUUUAUUGCUCCAUUUCAAGCCCUCUUCUGGCUGUUUCUCCCACCCCCACCUCCCAUAUUAGCACAGGGACGCUACAGGGGUGAGAGGACAUAGUUGUCAUGGCAACUCUCCACACUUGCUGGGCCAAUGGGAGAGAAAGCAGGAGCGGGGAGAAGGGACGGUGUAUUAGCGUGGUGAAGAGGCGGCAGGGCUGUGUGCCUAGUGCUGCCUCCCGGCUCCACAGCCCUUCCAGAACCAUGUCUGGGAUGUCUUCCUCCUCAAAACUCGACCAUCACAGGCUGGCUCCCGGGCAAAUGCAACGAGUAAAAGCCCCUCAGCCGCCGGCCUCCGUCUAAACCCCUUUCCAGGACUCAUCGCCGUCGUUAAAACCCGAGUGCCCCCAGGAUCAGCUUCGGACGGAGGGCUCUUCCGCCACACGGGGGCGCUCCACACCCAGGAACGAUACUUCAUCGAUGGCCAAAGGAACAAGACUCCGGAGAUCCCGGACCCAGGCCCGGGGGCUGGCCGGUCCGGACCCCUUCUCUGCCUCUUUUCAGAUGGGGGCGCUGCUGAGCGCGGGUGGCAGCCUUUCCCCACUGUGCUGCACUGCCAAGCCGCCCCACCGGGCAAGUUAGACAGGAAGAAUGAAGGAGGAGCUCUCGGAUCACAUCCUACCCUACCCCAACUAAAAAACUAUCUUUCCCAACUUGUUUGGGGCUCAGGGCAAAAUUGGGACAGCCAGGGCGUAUCUGAGAUGCUCUGAGGCAUAACUUCAAGGCCACUUCGCUGCCAGCCUGAUGAGCCAAGAUGACAGAGACCUCUGCCUCCGCCUCCACCCCAAAUCCGACUGAGGAAUCCUGCCUGCGCAGGGAAGCGGAGGGCGGGAGCACACUUCAGCACCGUGGACAACGACUCCCCUUUGGGAUCCAAUCAGCAGCUCCAGUCACAAGAUAAGCCACUCUACAAA